rnacentral:rRNA from 1 species
CCUACAAGCCGUGGGAGCGUCGGAUAUGUGCUUGCACAUAUCUCGUGACUGCGUGCCUUUUGAAGAAUGAGCCUGCGAGUUUGCGGUGUGUUGCGAGGUUAACCCGUGUGGGGAAGCCGUAGCGAAAGCGAGUCCGAAUAGGGCGAUAUAGUAGCGCGCUCAAGACCCGAAGCGGAGUGAUCUAGCCAUGGGCAGGUUGAAGCGGAGGUAAGACUUCGUGGAGGACCGAACCCACCAGGGUUGAAAACCUGGGGGAUGACCUGUGGUUAGGGGUGAAAGGCCAAUCAAACUCCGUGAUAGCUGGUUCUCCCCGAAAUGCAUUUAGGUGCAGCGUCGUGUGUUUCUUGCCGGAGGUAGAGCACUGGAUAGGCGAUGGGCCCUACCGGGUUACUGACCUUAGCCAAACUCCGAAUGCCGGUAAGUGAGAGCGCGGCAGUGAGACUGUGGGGGAUAAGCUCCAUGGUCGAGAGGGAAACAGCCCAGAGCAUCGACUAAGGCCCCUAAGCGUACGCUAAGUGGGAAAGGAUGUGGAGUCGCAGAGACAACCAGGAGGUUGGCUUAGAAGCAGCCACCCUUGAAAGAGUGCGUAAUAGCUCACUGGUCUAGUGAUUCCGCGCCGACAAUGUAGCGGGGCUCAAGCGUACCGCCGAAGUCGUGUCAUUCAUACAGAAGCCCCAACGGGUGUAUGGAUGGGUAGGGGAGCGUCGUGUGCCGGGUGAAGCCGCGCCGGAAGGCAGUGGUGGACGGUUCACGAGUGAGAAUGCAGGCAUGAGUAGCGAUUCACACGUGAGAAACGUGUGCGCCGAUUGACUAAGGGUUCCUGGGUCAAGCUGAUCUGCCCAGGGUAAGUCGGGACCUAAGGCGAGGCCGACAGGCGUAGUCGAUGGAUAACCGGUUGAUAUUCCGGUACCCGCUGUGAAGCGUCAAACAUCGAACCCAUUAAUGCUAAGGCCGUGAAGCCGCCCUGGAGCCUUCGGGCAAAGGGGAGUGGUGGAGCCGCCGAACCAAGGUGGUAGUAGGUGAGUGAUGGGGUGACGCAGGAAGGUAGUCCAUCCCGGGCGGUGGUUGUCCCGGGGUAAGGGUGUAGGACGUCAGGUAGGCAAAUCCGCCUGACAUGUGUCUGAGACCUGAUGCCGAGCCGAUUGUGGUGAAGUGGAUGAUCCUAUGCUGUCGAGAAAAGCCUCUAGCGAGUUUCAUGGCGGCCCGUACCCUAAACCGACUCAGGUGGUCAGGUAGAGAAUACCGAGGCGUUCGGGUGAACUAUGGUUAAGGAACUCGGCAAAAUGCCCCCGUAACUUCGGGAGAAGGGGGGCCACGUCCGGUGAUUGGAUUUACUCCAUGAGCUGGGGGUGGCCGCAGAGACCAGCGAGAAGCGACUGUUUACUAAAAACACAGGUCCGUGCGAAGCCGUAAGGCGAUGUAUACGGACUGACGCCUGCCCGGUGCUGGAACGUUAAGGGGACCGGUUAGCUCCAUUUCGGUGGGGCGAAGCUGAGAACUUAAGCGCCAGUAAACGGCGGUGGUAACUAUAACCAUCCUAAGGUAGCGAAAUUCCUUGUCGGGUAAGUUCCGACCUGCACGAAUGGCGUAACGACUUCUCGACUGUCUCAACCAUAGGCCCGGUGAAAUUGCACUACGAGUAAAGAUGCUCGUUUCGCGCAGCAGGACGGAAAGACCCCGGGACCUUUACUACAGUUUGAUAUUGGUGUUCGGUUCGGCUUGUGUAGGAUAGCUGGGAGACUGUGAACUCUGGACGCCAGUUCAGGGGGAGUCGUCGUUGAAAUACCAGUCUGGUCGUGCUGGAUGUCUAACCUGGGUCCGUGAUCCGGAUCAGGGACAGUGUCUGAUGGGUAGUUUAACUGGGGCGGUUGCCUCCUAAAGAGUAACGGAGGCGCCCAAAGGUUCCCUCAGCCUGGUUGGCAAUCAGGUGUUGAGUGUAAGUGCACAAGGGAGCUUGACUGUGAGACCGACGGGUCGAGCAGGGACGAAAGUCGGGACUAGUGAUCCGGCGGUGGCUUGUGGAAGCGCCGUCGCUCAACGGAUAAAAGGUACCCCGGGGAUAACAGGCUGAUCUUCCCCAAGAGUCCAUAUCGACGGGAUGGUUUGGCACCUCGAUGUCGGCUCGUCGCAUCCUGGGCUGGAGUCGGUCCCAAGGGUUGGGCUGUUCGCCCAUUAAAGCGGUACGCGAGCUGGGUUUAGAACGUCGUGAGACAGUUCGGUCCCUAUCCGCUGCGCGCGCAGGAAUAUUGAGAAGGGCUGUCCCUAGUACGAGAGGACCGGGACGGACGAACCUCUGGUGUGCCAGUUGUUCUGCCAAGGGCAUGGCUGGUUGGCUACGUUCGGGAGGGAUAACCGCUGAAAGCAUCUAAGCGGGAAGCCUGCUUCGAGAUGAGUAUUCCCACCCACUUGA